rnacentral:rRNA from 1 species
CCUACGGGAGGCAGCAGUGGGGAAUAUUGCACAAUGGGCGAAAGCCUGAUGCAGCGACGCCGCGUGAGGGAUGACGGCCUUCGGGUUGUAAACCUCUUUCAGUAGGGACGAAGCGCAAGUGACGGUACCUACAGAAGAAGCACCGGCCAACUACGUGCCAGCAGCCGCGGUAAUA